GAAGACCGGGAGGUGCCUGCGGCUCAGUAGAGCUGGAGGUCAGCGCGGCUUUUUGCAUGCCGAAGUUCCAGCAACCUGCUGGCAAGACUGCUGUGAGCCAUGGUCUGAGUCUCAGGGAACAAAUAGUGUUACAGGAGAGAAGGAACGUGCUGAGGAACGUAGAUGUGCUAAGAGUCAGAAUGUGUAGGAGAAGCAAGUGGGCUGAAUAGGAAAUUUCACCCUUCAGGAGAGCGCUGGACAGAUGGGAAGCAGGCUUGCCAUUGGGAACGCUUCCAGGGCCGAUCCUUUUGAAGUCAGCUGGCUCAGGAGCUAUUGACCACAGUGUCCAUCUAUACAGCAUGUUCCUCGAGGGCUGCAGGACCACCCUGCAAGCCAGAUGCAUUUACCUCUGCAGUCUCCCUAGCUCAAUGAGAGCAGCAUCUGCUGGGAGUCACGAGCACAGCUGUGUCUGACACGGGAGAUCUCCUAUUCUGUAUCAUUCUCCCAGUCCUUCAGGAUGCUGUCUAGAAGGAUUCAUGCUGUUCCUGGCCAGCCCUUCGAUGGUGCUCCCAGCUUACCCAGAGACACUGGUGAAAAAGUGGCACAGCCUCUAUGCAAAGCACGGCUUUUGAGGAACUGCAAAUAAUCCCAGAUAGUAUUGGAGAUCUGUAUCUUAUCCUUCAGCCCCCGAGGGGGUGGUAAAUCUCAGCCUAAAUUUACUCUUUUGCUCCUGAAAGAAUUUGUAAUCAUUGCUGUCUUGGAAAGGCGAAAGGGGGACAGGGGGAUUCCAUUUGCAAACACUUGUGGAGAUGGAAACAACAUGGAUUUAUAUUCUAAUGGGGGAAAUUUGGCUGUGGGAUGUCUGAAUGAAUACAAUCUGAUGAGUUUCA